rnacentral:rRNA from 1 species
GAUGAACGCUAGCGGGAGGCUUAACACAUGCAAGUCGUGGGGCAGCACAGGUAGCAAUACUGGGUGGCGACCGGCGCACGGGUGAGUAACGCGUAUGCAACCUGCCCUGUACAGGGGGAUAGCCCGGAGAAAUUCGGAUUAAUACCCCAUAAAGAUAUUGAGAGGCACCUUUUAAUAUUUAAAGUUUCGGCGGUACGGGAUGGGCAUGCGUGACAUUAGCUAGUUGGUAGGGUAACGGCCUACCAAGGCUGCGAUGUCUAGGGGUCCUGAGAGGGUGAUCCCCCACACUGGUACUGAGACACGGACCAGACUCCUACGGGAGGCAGCAGUGAGGAAUAUUGGUCAAUGGGCGCAAGCCUGAACCAGCCAUCCCGCGUGCAGGAAGAAGGCGCUAUGCGUCGUAAACUGCUUUUUCAGGGGAAGAAAAUCCUGUACGUGUACGGGACUGACGGUACCCUGUGAUUAAGCAUCGGCUAACUCCGUGCCAGCAGCCGCCGUAAUAC